rnacentral:rRNA from 1 species
AUUGAACGCUGGCGGCAGGCUUAACACAUGCAAGUCGAGCGAGCGGCGGACGGGUGAGUAAUGUGUGGGGAACUGGCUGAUGGAGGGGGAUCACUAGUGGAAAACGUCGGCUAUAACGCCUACAAUCCGAUGAACCCAUAUGGGAUUGGCUUGUAGGUAAGGUAACGGCUUACCUAGGCGACGAUCCCUAGCUGGUCUGAGAGGAUGAUGAGCCACAUUGGGAUUGAGACACGGCCCAGACUCCUACGGGAGGCAGCAGUGGGGAAUAUUGCACAAUGGGCGCAAGCCUGAUGCAGCCAUGCCGCGUGUAUGAAGAAGGCCUUCGGGUUGUAAAGUACGUUCAGUCGGGAGGCGUUACCGACAGAAGAAGCACCGGCUAACUCCGUGCCAGCAGCCGCGGUAAUUC